UGGGGAAUAUUGCACAAUGGGCGCAAGCCUGAUGCAGCCAUGCCGCGUGUAUGAAGAAGGCCUUCGGGUUGUAAAGUACUUUCAGCGGGGAGGAAGGUGUUGUGGUUAAUAACCGCAGCAAUUGACGUUACCCGCAGAAGAAGCACCGGCUAACUCCGUGCCAGCAGCCGCGGUAAUACGGAGGGUGCAAACGUUAAUCGGAAUUACUGGGCGUAAAGCGCACGCAGGCGGUCUGUCAAGUCGGAUGUGAAAUCCCCGGGCUCAACCUGGGAACUGCAUUCGAAACUGGCAGGCUAGAGUCUUGUAGAGGGGGGUAGAAUUCCAGGUGUAGCGGUGAAAUGCGUAGAGAUCUGGAGGAAUACCGGUGGCGAAGGCGGCCCCCUGGACAAAGACUGACGCUCAGGUGCGAAAGCGUGGGGAGCAAACAGGAUUAGAUACCCUGGUAGUCCACGCCGUAAACGAUGUCGACUUGGAGGUUGUGCCCUUGAGGCGUGGCUUCCGGAGCUAACGCGUUAAGUCGACCGCCUGGGGAGUACGGCCGCAAGGUUA
rnacentral:rRNA from 1 species